rnacentral:lncRNA from 1 species
GGCUUUUAGUAGAUGCCCUUUAUGAGACUGAGAAAGUUCCCUCCAUUCUUAGCUUGCUGAGAGUUUUUCUGAGAAUGGAUGUUGACUUUUGUCAAAUGCCUUUUCUGAGUCUGUUGAGAUAAUCAUAUUUUUCUACUUCAAAUUUAUUACCAUGUGGGGAGUUCCUCUUGUGGCUCAGCGGUGAUGAAUCCAACUAGCAUCCCUGAGAACGCGGGUUCGAUCCCUGGCCUCACUCAGUGGGUUAAAGGAUCUGAUGUUGUUGUGAGCUGUGGUGUAGGUCACAGAUGCAGCUCAGAUCCCAUGUGGCUGUGGCUGUGGUGUAGGCCGGCAACUGCAGCUCUGAUUCAACCCCUAGCCUGGGACCUUCCAUAUGCCGUGUGUGCAGCCCUAAAAUAAAUAAGUAAAUAAAUAAAUUUAUUACCAUGUGAAUUAUAUUGAUUGAUUUUUGAAUGUUAAGACAAUCAUGCAUUUCUAGGAUAAAUCCCACUUGGCCAUGAUGUAUGUCAUUUUUAUAUAUUGUUGGAUUUGAUUUGAUAACUUAUGUUUAGAAUUUUUGCAUCUAAGUUUAUGAGGGAUACCGGUGUGAAGUUAAUUUUCUUGUGAUAUCUGUCAAACUGUGGUAUCAGGGUAAUGCUCUCCUCUGAGAACGAGUUGGGAAAUAAUCUUUCCUCUUUCAUUUACUGAAAGAGUUUGUCUAGAAUUAUUUAUUCCUUCAAGUCACCAGUGAAAUCAUCUGGGCCAGGAGUUUUCUUUGUGGGAAGUUUUUAAACAAUAAAUUCAAUUUCUUUAAUAAAUAAAGGGCUAUUCCAGUAUUUACUGUCUCUUGAGUGAGUUUUGCAAGUUUGUUUUUCAAGGAAUUUUUCCACUUUAUUUAGGUUGCCAAAUUGAUUGGCAUGAAGUUGGCUAUAAUGUUUCCUUUAUUAUCAGUAGAAUCUAUAAUGAUAUUCUCACUCCUGAAGUUAGUAAUUUGUGUCUGUUCUCUCUUUUUUUCCUUGAUCAGCCUGGCUCAGAUUUAUUAAUUUCGUUAAUGUUCCUGAGGAGUCAGCUUUUGGUUUCAUUGAUUUUCUCUAUUGUUUUUUUGUUUUCUCUUUCACUGAUUUCUGAUUUUUCUGAUUUUCUUCUACUUUAGGUUUAAUCUUCUUUAGUUUCUUAAGGUAGAAGUUGGGGUCACUGAUUUGAGACCUUUCUUUUUUCUAAGAUAGCUGUUUAGUGCCUUGCAUUUACCCUUACAUACUGCUUUAGUGGCAUUUAACGAUUUUUACAUAUUGUAUUUCAUUUUAAUUCAGUUCAAAAUACUUUGUUUCCCUUAUGCUAUUUUCUUUGACCUGUGGCUUAUUUAGGAAUGUGCCAUUUAGUCUCCACACAUUGGAAGACUUUCCAGAGAUCUUUCUGUUAUUGAUUUCUAAUUAAAUUAUCUUAUG